GAUGAACGCUGGCGGCGUGCCUAAUACAUGCAAGCCGAGCGAACGGACGAGAAGCUUGCUUUUCUGAUGUUAGCGGCGGACGGGUGAGUAACACGUGGAUAACCUACCUAUAAGACUGGGAUAACUUCGGGAAACCGGAGCUAAUACCGGAUAAUAUUUUGAACCGCAUGGUUCAAAAGUGAAAGACGGACUUGCUGUCACUUAUAGAUGGAUCCGCGCUGCAUUAGCUAGUUGGUAAGGUAACGGCUUACCAAGGCAACGAUGCAUAGCCGACCUGAGAGGGUGAUCGGCCACACUGGAACUGAGACACGGUCCAGACUCCUACGGGAGGCAGCAGUAGGGAAUCUUCCGCAAUGGGCGAAAGCCUGACGGAGCAACGCCGCGUGAGUGAUGAAGGUCUUCGGAUCGUAAAACUCUGUUAUUAGGGAAGAACAUAUGUGUAAGUAACUGUGCACAUCUUGACGGUACCUAAUCAGAAAGCCACGGCUAACUACGUG
rnacentral:rRNA from 1 species